rnacentral:rRNA from 1 species
UACGUAGGGUGCAAGCGUUAAUCGGAAUUACUGGGCGUAAAGCGUGCGCAGGCGGUGAUGUAAGACAGAUGUGAAAUCCCCGGGCUCAACCUGGGAACUGCAUUUGUGACUGCAUCGCUGGAGUGCGGCAGAGGGGGGUAGAAUUCCACGUGUAGCAGUGAAAUGCGUAGAUAUGUGGAGGAACACCGAUGGCGAAGGCAGCCCCCUGGGUCAAGACUGACGCUCAUGCACGAAAGCGUGGGGAGCAAACAGG